AUUGAACGCUGGCGGCAUGCUUUACACAUGCGAGUCGAACGGCAGCGCGGGCUUCAGCCUGGCGGCGAGUGGCGAACGGGUGAGUAAUACAUCGGAACGUGCCCAGUAGUGGGGGAUAGCUCGGCGAAAGCCGGAUUAAUACCGCAUACGACCUGAGGGUGAAAGCGGGGGAUCUUCGGACCUCGCGCUAUUGGAGCGGCCGAUGGCAGAUUAGCUAGUUGGUGGGGUAAAGGCCUACCAAGGCGACGAUCUGUAGCUGGUCUGAGAGGACGACCAGCCACACUGGGACUGAGACACGGCCCAGACUCCUACGGGAGGCAGCAGUGGGGAAUUUUGGACAAUGGGCGAAAGCCUGAUCCAGCAAUGCCGCGUGUGUGAUGAAGGCCUUCGGGUUGUAAAGCACUUUUGGCGGGAACGAAAAGGACUGUGCCAAUACCACGGUUCGAUGACGGUACCCGCAGAAUAAGCACCGGCUAACUACGUG
rnacentral:rRNA from 1 species